AGUUUGGAAAAUUAAAAAAAAAAGUUAACGUUGAAAGAAGAAGAAAAAAAACAAAGGACUAAGGAUGGAGGAUCGAGAGAAAAAGUUUUUUCAUUUGGAAAGCGACGAAAGUUCAGUGUUGAUGUUCAGAUUCGAGUUACGUUCGCUAUCCUCACCCGUUUUCUUGUAAUAGCUGGUCUUCUUUUACAUUAUUGAAAGCUUCUGCAAAUGUUCAUAUUCUCUAUUUUUAUUAUUUUUCAGUCUUUGAAUUUGUAUGUAUUUUAUGUGUUUAGUAAUGUUUAAUGUGAUGUGUAUCUUAUUUAGUUUUGUUUCCAUUGUUUAGUUCUCUUUAAUCUUUCUUAAUAUUAAUUCUGACGCUUAGAUAGUGCU
rnacentral:lncRNA from 1 species